rnacentral:rRNA from 1 species
GAUCAUGGCUCAGGAUGAACGCUGGCAGCGUGCUUAACACAUGCAAGUCGAGCGUAAGCACUUAGGAAAGAUUCUUCGGAUGAUUUCCUAUUUGACUGAGCGGCGGACGGGUGAGUAACGCGUGGGUAACCUGCCGUCAUACAGGGGGAUAACAGUUAGAAAUGACUGCUAAUACCGCAUAAGACCACAGCACCGCAUAGGUGCAGGGGUAAAAACUCCGGUGGUAUGAGAUGGACCCG